rnacentral:tRNA from 1 species
GGAGAGUAGGCGAAUGUUGGUUUGUCGCGUGCGUUUGCUAAACGCAUCUGGCGUAAGCCAGCGAGAGUUCGAUUCUCUCAUUCUCCG